CCGUUCAAUACUGCGGGACUUGAGGGCAGAAGAGGGGGGUGGAAUUGCUGGUGUAGUGGUGAAAUGCGUAGAUAUCAGCAGGAACACCUGUGGCGAAAGCGGCCCCCUGGUCUGCUCCUGACACUCAGACGCGAAAGCUAGGGGAGUGAACGGGAUUAGAAACCCCGGUAAUCCUAGCCGUAAACGAUGGAUGCUAGGUGUGGGUGGUAUUGACCCCAUCCGUGCCGAAGCCAACGCGUUAAGCAUCCCGCCUGGGGACUACGGCCGCAAGGUUAAAACUCAAAGGAAUUGACGGGGACCCGCACAAGCAGCGGAGCGUGUGGUUUAAUUCGAUGCUACACGAAGAACCUUACCCAGGUUUGACAUGCAGGUAGUAGUGAAGCGAAAGCGGAACGAUCCUUCGGGAAGCCUGCACAGGUGCUGCAUGGCUGUCGUCAGCUCGUGCCGUGAGGUGUUUGGUUAAGUCCACUAACGAGCGCAACCCCUGUCGCCAGUUACAUGUGUCUGGUGAGACUGCCGGCCUUAAGCCGGAGGAAGGUGGGGAUGAUGUCAAGUCAGCAUGGCCUUUAUAUCUGGG
rnacentral:rRNA from 1 species